GCCACAAGCACUGACAAGAAAUCCAUAAAUCCUGGCGUGUUACGAUCCACUGCAAGAGAGUACGACUGGCAGGCUGACACAUUGAGAUUCAAGAUCUUCAUCACUGAACAUAAUAAUCGGCUUUUCGUCAUUUUUAUUUGUUCUGCUUUUUUCCAGAAGAAUGACUUAAUUUCAUUUUGAAAACAACCUUCAGCUCACAUCGUUUUUUUUUUUUGUUCUGGUUAGUGGCGCCGCAGCCGUUAACCCUGAUGGAUCCCCUUCCUGCCAUCAAGACAAGACACGGCUCAGACACUUUUCUAUCAGACAAAGCUGAGUGUGUGAAGAGGCUCCUGAAGCUUGUCGGCCAAAUGGAAACAGAGACGGCACAUUAUCAUCUCAUGAUAUUGUUAUUAUCAUUACAGGGGAAGCGUUUAAUACCAUCUCGCAUGAUGACGUCCAUUCUCCAGCAGCACUGCAAAGGAUGAUCCGCUAACCGCCGCAACAUCAAGUAUCAAAGAACCGCAGGGAUUAUUCAGAGCUGCCUUUCAUCAGCGGAGCCAUUUUCAUGAUCCAUCAGGCGCAAGUUUGUUGUAAAAUAGAAAAUAAGCAGUAUGGAACAAUGGUGGGAACAUCAGUACUGACAGGGAAACCAUUUUAGAUCCCUGUGGACUGAGGACACCUACCAAGUAAAAAACAGCAUUACACCAUAAAUGACCACGAAGAACUGAACUGAGGUUUUAUGGGCUGAUUGGUAACAAUGGCAAGAAGUCAGUUUGAGUCAAAAAGAGGCUUUCAAAGCUUUGGCUUUCCACAACUGCUGCAGUCCGGGACAUCUGACCUGGUUGACCCCCCUGUCGGCUGUUGGCGACCGUGCUCAAAGAUCGGCCUGCUGUGUGUGGAGGUAUCGAACAUGGAGAGCACAGUCGGCGCUCGAUCGAUUGACGAGGAUCUGCAGCAGAGAAGCGUCUUUGUUCCUGCUGACAGCAGGACGCCGCUGCUUCCCCCUCUCUGACUCCUGUUGUCAUUUCCUUUUUAGGUUUGUUGAAUAUUUGGCACAAAGAGCAAAUCCCCUCUGCUGAAAAAGGUACAUUUGUGCACGUAUGUUGUGUUAAAUCCCAGCCGAACACAGAUUUUGUAGCUUUAAACAGAUGCAGCUUAUUAUUACCGUUGUUUCGGUUGGCUGCUGAACAUCGUCAAAACACACCUUCCACACAGCUGGGAACAACUGCUUUGUGAAUGCUACGCACUCAUGGUUUUAAAUCAUUUCACCAGUAAUAGUUGUGGAUAUGGAUGCAACAUUGAAGGAACUUCUGGUUUGUACUGAUUGUUUUCUAUAUGCCGCAACUAUGUUCUGUGUUCUCCAUUUGUCUCCAAGCAGUAGAGUCACAAAACACAAGAAAUCUUCCAGGCAGGACUAAAAUUUCCUAAAACCUUGGGGAAGAAUAUGUUCUGAUAUUUGAUUAAACUAAAUCUGGACCUUUAGUCAUAAUUACAAAACCCACUUUGCACAUCACCAAAAUCCCUCCACAUUCACAGGGAAGCAUGGUGGUGGGAGUGCAGCCCUCUGGGAUUACGUUUCUUUAAAUGUAUCUAGACUGAAAUCAUGAAAAGCUCUAAAUACCAAACAGUUUUAGACCAAAACCUUCAGGUGCCUGCCAGGAAGCUGCAAAUGAAUUUUGUUUUUCAGCAUCACAGCAAAACCGAGCAUUAAUCUAUAUUAAGAAAAGAUGGGAUUCAAAUCAGGAAAAUGACAAUUCUGGAAUGCCCUAACCAAAGUCCAGAACUACAUCUGGCAGAAGACCUGUGGGUUCACCUGGAGAAGGUUGGGGACAUAAGAUGUCCUCACAGUCUGAGUCAGGAUGUGGAGUUCUGAUUGACUCCGUCUCCUACCAGCUUUUUAAUGUCGUUUUUCACAGCAACAGAUUUUCUGGGAUAAAUGUCACUUUUUAUCUGGACACAGUUUUGAAAGGAUUCAUUAUGGUUUCAUUUCAACAGGGGUGUGUAAACUUCUUAUGUCCACUGUAGUUGGUUUAUUAAAACAGUUUGUUCACUUCAACUAGUGAUCAUCAGGUUUUAUGUGUUUUAUGGUACAGAAGAUGACAAGUUUGGGACAUACGGACUGAAAAUAAGCUUUGGGUGUACAAACUUUACUGUAGUAAAGACCUCUGGUUAGAUGUGAGUGUUGUUUAUUCCACUCUGAUGUUUUUGUCUUUGGGUCUGCUGAGUUGUUGCUUCCCUCGAGAGAUGCUGAAAGAGCCAAUCCUUCGGGGCGAUGAGAGCAGUUCUGAUGUUGUUUUUAUCUUUUCCACCUAAACAUUUAAACCCAGGAAACCCGCAUUGUGUCAUCAUCAAAGGAGCAGAACCAGGCCGAGACUUUUUAUCAUCAUAUGGCUGAGACGUGUCCGGAAGCAGACUGAGAGGCUCCUAGACUGGACCUGGAGAUGACACGGUUGAAGGAUGCUCCUGCAGCUCCGGACGGACGCUGCACGCAAAUUCAGCCCAGAUGUUUGGAAGGUUUUAAUGAUGAAGUGGGAAUAUUAACAAUAAAUGAUGGACAUCAAAGAUUUU